CUUCCUUUGUCUCAUGAUGGAUUAUUCUUAUUUCAACAAUAAGAUAAGCUACAUAUUAACAUAUUUUUCCUUUAAACAAACUCAAAAAAUGAUAUGUAAUUACAAUAGCUACAGCUACAAGAAUAUGAGUGAUCACCAAUGACUAUCAAGCUAAACAUUGACAAUGACACUUAUUUAAA